GGACCAAUUAAUUGGUCGUGCCUCUGGUACGUACUGAUUUUAUUGGUUUCUCCCUUCUGACGAACCAUGAUGUCAUUAAUUUGGUGUCGUGGAGAAUCAGGACUGUUACUUUGAAAAAAUUAGAGUGUUUAAAGCAGGCUCACGCUUGAAUACAUUAGCAUGGAAUAAUGAAAUAGGACGUUUGAUUCUAUUUUGUUGGUUUCUAGGACCGCUGUA
rnacentral:rRNA from 1 species